CCUACGGGAGGCAGCAGUGGGGAAUAUUGCACAAUGGGGGAAACUCUGAUGCAGCGACGCCGCGUGAGUGAAGAAGUAUUUCGGUAUGUAAAGCUCUAUCAGCAGGGAAGAAAAUGACGGUACCUGAUUAAGAAGCCCCGGCUAACUACGUGCCAGCAGCCGCGGUAAUACGUAGGGGGCAAGCGUUAUCCGGAUUUACUGGGUGUAAAGGGAGCGUAGACGGCAGCACAAGUCUGGAGUGAAAUGCCGGGGCUUAACCCCGGAACUGCUUUGGAAACUGUGCAGCUAGAGUGCAGGAGAGGUAAGUGGAAUUCCUAGUGUAGCGGUGAAAUGCGUAGAUAUUAGGAGGAACACCAGUGGCGAAGGCGGCUGACUGGACUGUAACUGACGUUGAGGCUCGAAAGCGUGGGGAGCAAACAGGAUUAGAUACCCGAGUAGUC
rnacentral:rRNA from 1 species